rnacentral:rRNA from 1 species
UGGGGAAUCUUGGACAAUGGGCGCAAGCCUGAUCCAGCCAUGCCGCGUGGGUGAAGAAGGCCUUAGGGUUGUAAAUCCCUUUCAGCGGGGAAGAUAAUGACGGUACCCGCAGAAGAAGCCCCGGCUAACUCCGUGCCAGCAGCCGCGGUAAGACGGAGGGUGCUAGCGUUGUUCGGAAUCACUGGGCGUAAAGGGCGCGUAGGCGGCCUGGACAGUCAGAUGUGAAAGCCCGGGGCUCAACCCCGGAACGGCAUUUGAUACUGCCAGGCUGGAGGUCGGAAGAGGAGGGUGGAAUAUCCAGUGUAGAGGUGAAAUUCGUAGAUAUUGGAUGGAACACCGGUGGCGAAAGCGGCUCUCUGGUCCGAACCUGACGCUGAGGCGCGAAAGCGUGGGGAGCAAACAGGAUUAGAUACCCGUGUAGUCC